rnacentral:misc_RNA from 1 species
GUGAAUCAUCGAAUCUUUGAACGCAAAUUGCACUUCCUGGUAUUCCGGGGAGUAUGCCUGUUUGAGGGUCGUUAGAACAAAAAUCGAAGCGUCGCCCUUUUUUUUUAAGGGUGAUCGCGUCGGAAUUGCGUCGUUUUUCAAAUGUUAAUUUAUGUCAAAGUGGCUUGAUAUUCAUCCCUCCGGUCCGAUUAAAGCGUAUUUAUGAUC